UGACAUAAACCAUAAGAAACCUGCCUCUG
rnacentral:piRNA from 1 species